CUGCGGGCCUCUUCGCUCCCGUCCCCCCUCUCCCCCCCUCCCGUCACACAGCCGCCGCCGCUCCCCUCCCCUACCAACCUCCUGCUCCGACCCCGCAGAGGGCGCGUCCAUGGCCGGAGCGGAGGAGGAGAUCCAGGCGGAGCGCGCCAUCUCCAUCGCCAUGGCCCCCGGCCUUUGUCGAGCCGCUCGUCAUCUUCCUCGUCCUCGUCGUCAACGCCGCCAUCGGCGUCUAGCAGGUGGACUCCGGCGGCUCGUCUCCGUCUUCUUCCUCGUCCCCACGCGCGGCUCCACUUCCCGCUGGCCAUGGGGUUCAGCCUUAAGGGGCACAUCGGGUUGGGCAUCCUCUGUUUCUGAGUGCACGGGGCGGUUCGAGGCGCACUUGUGGAGCAAGAACACAUGCACAGAGCCGCAGAGGAAGAAGAAAGGGAGGCAAGUUUAUUUCGGGGCAUAUGGCGGCGAGGAAGCCAACUAUUACAAUCAUAUUUAAGUUUUGAUUUCUGUUGGUUGUCCAUGAUUCAUUUGUGGUCAUUUUCUUGUUAGAUGGUUGAUUCAGAUGUGGUUUUAUUUGCAGGGAGGGGUCACUGCUUGUUAGUUUGUUCUAGGUUACUGCUUAUUAGUUUGGUCAUGGUGCUUGUUAGUUUACUAUUCGGUGGUCCUUUGUAUGCACCAUUCAUAUAUUUUGUUCUUAUUUUUUUGUUAACUUUCUUUUAGUUCGGGGCCUCUCUUGCUGCCUCCACUUCAUGUGGCACAGUAUAUCUCCAACUAUUCUCUCUCCUGUUUCAUAUUUAUUUUGCUCUAGCCAUGUGUGUAGCCUGAUAAGUAUAAAGCGUCCUCACCAUCGUAAGCCUUCACUUAUGGAUUGAUUCUAGGAAUAUGCACAAACUAAAUUAAGAUUCAGAGUAUGUACAGAAUCGGAGUGAGUUCUCCCUUUCUGGGACUUAGUCUUCUGUCAUGUGAUUUUAUCUUGAAAGAACAGAAAAAAACAUUCCAUGUGAGAGAAAUAGCCCGGUGAUGUGUGAUUCAUCGACUGAACAUCUGUUAGAAUAGUUGGCUAGAUUUCUUUUCUGCUUAGCUACAACAUUGGUUCGAUUUGUCCCUUAUUGUGAAAAACAAAGGGUUUGGUUUCUUUGUGUUGGAUUGGUGCUUCUGAAAGAGAAUGGGGAAGAAUGGCCUGUUCAUUGGCCUCUAUUGUUCGAUUUGGUCUCCCUAACUUAUUAUGAUGGUGUCAGUGCUGGCUUGUUUUCGUUCGUCCUUGCUUAUAUUCAUGUGUCUUAGUAGUUAGAUAGCUCAUAUGGUUUUGGUUAGGAAGAGUGUUUGAUUUGGGCUCGCUGGGCUAUUAUGAUGGUGUCAGUCUGGUUUACAUUGUUGGUUAGAGAGAGAAUUUGAGAUUUUAUGCCUGAGGUGUUUACUGCCCGGUUAAUGAUAGUGCCUUCUGAUGGAGUGUGUCUGCUGUUGUCGCUCUUGAAUAGUCAGUAUGAUGUUAAUUUAGCUUUCGACUAUGUAGGUUUGUCAGGCACGAUAAAAUUUUGAAUGUUUGAAUCACAUCAGCAAGAACUUGGAGAUGCUUAUUUUCUCCAUGGGGUCUUUCAUAAACGUAAAAACAACACGACAAAGGUUCGCUCUAAACUGUAGUAUAUUCAGAGAUUUAGUCUACUUGCUUGAGAAUUAGAAAGGCACUUUUGUUUCUCACGGUUUGAUUUGUAUGUACUGUGAACUGCAAAUACCUCGGCUCCUUGCAAAAUAGAAAUCAAUAGUACCCUCAUUUACUCGUUGAAUUGUUUAUUUCCUAUAUUACUUUGCUUGUGAAGUUCAGAUUUAACUUAACAUGGACUGUUUGUGCUUGCUUGUGGUGAUGUGAGUAUUUGUUUUGCUUUGGAAUAUUAGUUCUUCCUGAAGCUUAUUACAAUUACAUCGAACUAUGGUUGACUGGAAUAUUUUUGCGUGCUUCGGUUGAUAUAUAAGCUCCCGGAAUAUCAUUGAUGGAAGGAGACUCUGCAAGGCACAUAAUGCCUAUUCUAGAGGUUUUUAUUUUUCUAAGUUCAUUUGUUGUUUCGCCUUUUGAAAGGCGUGAUCCAGUGGUCCCACAUAUGAUACUAAGUUAGAGAUCGGUUAUCCCUGUGAAUGCAAACUAUGUUUAGCUAUGAACAUGUUUGACUCCUACACUAUUUUACCUAAUUAGUUAUUGGAUUAAUUUUGGUAGUUCUAUUUUUCUGCUGCCAACAACAUGCAAGUUAAAAUGUUCAAGGUGUGCUUUGGCUUUGGGAUUCUUUACUGUUUUUGCUUUGGCUUUGUGCGUGGCCUCUGAAAUUAAACCAAAGUUUCAGCGGGUUCUUUUUAAAGACAAUGAAGCUGUCUCAAAUGUCAACCCAGUAUCUGAUCCAAUCGACGAUGCGCUUGUUGAUGCAGAUGGCGAGGGCUUGGUUACUUCCAGAUCAUCUAUGUUUUGAAGCAUACACUUUCAGUCUAUGCUUACUUAUUUUACGCUUGGUUACUUCCAGAUCAUCUGUCUUUUGGAAGCACACACUUUCUGUCUAUGCUUACUUAUUUUACGCAUGUUUCCUCCCAGUCUGGUGAAACACUAGGUUCAGUUAAUGAGUCUAUUGCUGGAAAGGAGAAGACACCACAACUUAGCACUGACAUUCAGAAAGAUAACUUAACAUUGCCUGGUGAGACGUCAGAUGCAAAUAGCACUCGACAUUUCUUUACUUAUACCCAGGUGCUUUGCUUGCAUUGCAAAACUGCUACAUUCAGCGUGGCAUUUUGCGUUCUGAACCAUCCAUGCCUACUGAUGCUCGAAGCAAUCCGAGCAAGCGGGUCAGGAAGAAGUAGAAACAUAGCAUGGGGGGUGAGGCGUCUUUUGGAGAUCCAAGACUCUUGGUUGACGUUGCUGUAAAUGGAUGAUUUCUUAUCAAUAUGCCUGUACGAGCGAGUCCCCUGCUUGAGCUUCGUUCGCAGGCACUUACCACCACAUCACUUGGUUGCUUAUGGGCAACAAUGGCUGCUAUCAGUCAUGUUGCUGUCCAGUUGGACUACCAGGCUACUUGGAUAUAAACCGUCCUUUUGUCAGGUACGGGAUCGAUGAAUACAUAUCCUGGACUCGGUGCCCCGGAGUGAAAUGGGAAGUCGAAUGGCUUGGCAUGCACACCCUAUGAAGCGCUUUUAGCCGUCUUGUUUCGGUUUUGGCCACGGCGAUAUCUGUUUGUAGAGGCUAACAAGUACUUCAUGCCUGGGAUGCAUCCUUUGUAAAUAUAUGGGCGAUUGAUGCACUCUUUUCACAUGGUCACUCUCCUGCUUUGUAAUCUUUGAACCUCAUCAGUGUCAAUAUUGUAAUUCGAAAUCUGAUAUAUAUGGGUUGCAUUCGUCGGCUCCCCUGUGGAUUGUUUAUUGUGUU